UCAGUCUUUUUCUCUCUCCUAUU
rnacentral:ncRNA from 2 species